GUGCCAGCAGCCGCGGUAAUACGUAGGUGGCAAGCGUUGUCCGGAUUUACUGGGCGUAAAGGGAGCGUAGGCGGAUACUUAAGUGGGAUGUGAAAUACCCGGGCUCAACCCGGGUGCUGCAUUCCAAACUGGGUAUCUAGAGUGUGGGAGAGGAAAGUGGAAUUCCUAGUGUAGCGGUGAAAUGCGUAGAUAUUAGGAAGAACACCAGUGGCGAAGGCGACUUUCUGGACCAUAACUGACGCUGAGGCUCGAAAGCGUGGGGAGCAAACAGGAUUAGAUACCCUGGUAGUCC
rnacentral:rRNA from 1 species